rnacentral:rRNA from 1 species
GCGAAGCUCGGGCGAGGGGCGGAGGUAAGACUGUGGGUGCAAGGGUGGUGCGGAAGUGUGGGGCGUAAAGGGUAGGUAGGUGGUGUUAUUGGUUUGGGGUGAAAGCCUGGAGCUUAACUCAAGAAGGUCCCCAGAAACGGGGAGACUAGAGUCUUGGAGAGGGGCGUGGAAUUCCCGGUGUAGCGGUGAAAUGCGUAGAGAUCGGGAGGAACACCAGAGGCGAAAGCGGCGACCUGGACAAGAACUGACACUCAACUACGAAAGCGUGGGGAGCAAACAGGAUUAGAUACCCCUGUAGUC